rnacentral:rRNA from 1 species
CCUACGGGAGGCAGCAGUGGGGGAUAUUGCACAAUGGGGGAAACCCUGAUGCAGCGACGCCGCGUGUGGGAAGACGGUCCUCUGGAUUGUAAACCACUGUCCCCAGGGACGAAGAUGACGGUACUUGGGGAGGAAGCUCCGGCUAACUACGUGCCAGCAGCCGCGGUAAUACGUAGGGAGCGAGCGUUGUCCGGAAUUACGUGGUGUAAAGGGAGCGUAGGCGGGGGUGCAAGUUGGGUGGCAAAACUACCGGCUAAACUGGUAGUCGCACUCAAAACUGCAGCUCUUGAGUGAAGUAGAGGCAGGCGGAAUUCCUAGUGUAGCGGUGAAAUGCGUAGAUAUUAGGAGGAACACCAGGUGCGAAGGCGGCCUGCUGGGCUUUUACUGACGCUGAGGCUCGAAAGUGUGGGGAGCAAACAGGAUUAGAUACCCCUGUAGUC